rnacentral:rRNA from 1 species
CGGGGUCUAACCGGCCCCAACUCUUCAUC